GCUAACCAUGCAAGUCGAACGCUCACCUUCGGGUGGGAGUGGCAGACGGGUGAGUAACACGUGGGAACGUACCCUUUGGUUCGGGACAACUCUGGGAAACUGGAGCUAAUACCGGAUACGCCCUUUUGGGGAAAGGUUUACUGCCGAAGGAUCGGCCCGCGUCUGAUUAGCUAGUUGGUGGGGUAACGGCCUACCAAGGCGACGAUCAGUAGCUGGUCUGAGAGGAUGAUCAGCCACACUGGGACUGAGACACGGCCCAGACUCCUACGGGAGGCAGCAGUGGGGAAUAUUGGACAAUGGGCGCAAGCCUGAUCCAGCCAUGCCGCGUGAGUGAUGAAGGCCUUAGGGUUGUAAAGCUCUUUUAUCCGGGACGAUAAUGACGGUACCGGAGGAAUAAGCCCCGGCUAACUUCGUGCCAGCAGCCGCGGUAAUACGAAGGGGGCUAGCGUUGCUCGGAAUCACUGGGCGUAAAGGGCGCGUAGGCGGCGUUUUAAGUCGGGGGUGAAAGCCUGUGGCUCAACCACAGAAUGGCCUUCGAUACUGGGACGCUUGAGUCUGGUAGAGGUUGGUGGAACUGCGAGUGUAGAGGUGAAAUUCGUAGAUA
rnacentral:rRNA from 1 species